AUAGUUUGAUCCUGGCUCAGGAUGAACGCUAGCGGAGGGCUUAACACAUGCAAGUCGAGGGGUAACAGGGAAGCUUGCUUCUGCUGACGACCGGCGCACGGGUGAGUAACGCGUAUGAAACCUACCCUUUACUGGGGGAUAGCCACGGGAAACUGUGAUUAAUACCCCAUAGUACUAAUUAGAGGCAUCUUUAAUUAGUUAAAGGUUACGGUAAAGGAUGGUCAUGCGUGACAUUAGUUUGUUGGUGAGGUAACGGCUCACCAAGACUACGAUGUCUAUGGGGUCUUAAAGGAUGAUCCCACACACUGGUACUGAGACACGGACCAGACUCCUACGGGAGGCAGCAGUGAGGAAUAUUGGUCAAUGGGCGAGAGCCUGAACCAGCCAAUCCGCGUGAGGGAAGACUGCCCUAGUGGUUGUAAACCUCUUUUAUAUAGGAAGAAUAAGCAGGACGUGUCCUGUGAUGCCUGUACUAUAUGAAUAAGCAUCGGCUAACUCCGUGCCAGCAGCCGCGGUAAUACGGAGGAUGCGAGCGUUAUCCGGAUUUAUUAGGUUUAAAGGGUGCGUAGGCUGGACUUUAAGUCAGUGGUGAAAUCCUGCGACUCAACCGUAGAACUGCCAUUGAUACUGAAGACCUUGAGUACAGCCGAGGUAGGCGGAAUAUGUUAUGUAGCGGUGAAAUGCAUAGAUAUAACAUAGAACACCGAUUGCGAAGGCAGCUUACCAAACUGUAACUGACGCUGAUGCACGAAAGCGUGGGUAGCGAACAGGAUUAGAUACCCUGGUAGUCCACGCCGUAAACGAUGUUCACUGGUUGCUAGCGACAUAUUGUUAGUGACUGAGCGAAAGUAUUAAGUGAACCACCUGGGGAGUACGUUCGCAAGAAUGAAACUCAAAGGAAUUGACGGGGGCCCGCACAAGCGGAGGAACAUGUGGUUUAAUUCGAUGAUACGCGAGGAACCUUACCUGGGGCUCAAACGUAGGUUGACAGAGUUAGAGAUAGCUUUUUCUUCGGACAAUCUACGAGGUGCUGCAUGGUUGUCGUCAGCUCGUGCCGUGAGGUGUCGGGUUAAGUCCCAUAACGAGCGCAACCCCUAUCUUUAGUUGCCAGCGGGUCAAGCCGGGGACUCUAAAGAGACUGCCACCGUAAGGUGAGAGGAAGGUGGGGAUGACGUCAAAUCAGCACGGCCCUUACGUCCAGGGCUACACACGUGUUACAAUGGUCGGUACAAAGGGCAGCUACACAGCAAUGUGAUGCUAAUCUCUAAAGCCGGUCACAGUUCGGAUUGGAGUCUGCAACUCGACUCUAUGAAGCUGGAUUCGCUAGUAAUCGCAUAUCAGCCAUGAUGCGGUGAAUACGUUCCCGGGCCUUGUACACACCGCCCGUCAAACCAUGGAAGUCGGGGGUACCUGAAGUGCGUGACCGCAAGGAGCGUCCUAGGGUAAAUCUGAUAACUGGGGUUAAGUCGAAACAAGGUA
rnacentral:rRNA from 1 species